rnacentral:siRNA from 1 species
AGGUCGCUAACCACAAUUCCGUCC